rnacentral:lncRNA from 1 species
AACAUUGUGGAGAGGAAAGCAUUAGGGGAGCCCACGGCUACAAAAACAAGUGAGUGAGAAGAGGUGGGAGGAAGAGAAACUACGCCACCUCCCCUGCAGCCGAGUGCACGCAGCAGCCUGGCGUGACAAGUGGGCGACGCCGGGGGGCAGGGAGCCGGGGUCCUUGGCCCUGGCCGGGGACCCCACCGCCCACCGCGCGGAGGACAACUUUUAGCCGGCAGCCCAGACCAGCGCGGCACCUGUCUCCGGAGUCUCCACCGCUCCUCCCGAUUCAUCCCAGGGAAAUUCUCAAGAAUACGCUCUACAAAUCUACGUGCGCAUCAUUUUCACCUCGCGUCGCGCCCGGGAGGAAGGAACGAGGCAAGGAGCUAAAGCAGCGUGCGUUCAGCCCUGGGGAGGAAAAUGGAAGAAACGGAGAUACUUUUAGUGAAGCAGAAUAAACCACUGAACAGCGUUGGCUGAAAAACAUAAGGUCUGUUUCAUCUUCAUAAAAACGCUGCUUUCAGUGCACUGGAUUUAUUUUACAACCCACUAAUGGAUUACCCUACAGUUUGAAAAACAUUGCGUUAGACCAGUUUGACUGUUGUCAAGAACCAAAAAAGGAAAAAUGAGGAAGCUGUGAGUACCAGUGGAAGGAACGAGCCAGGAAGAGGGACUGGAACCAUCUCAGAAGCCAUGCCCCUCAGGCUGGAACUUGCCCUGUCUCCUCGCAGAUGAGCUACCUCUUGUGUUUAAGAAUUAAAGGAAGAUGAGCUAGGAAUCAAGAAAUACGCAGAACUGAUUCCUGUCACUGGCGCCACCCUGCCACUUGCCCAGAGCUGUGGUAUAAAUUUUUUUAAUAGGCUGAAAUAAAAAUAUGAAUAGCAUUUUGGUAUUAAGCAUUAAAUUGAUAAAGGCUAUGAGAUACACCUGCUCUCAACCAUGUUAAUUUUUUAUUAUUGGUAUUAAUAAAUUAUUACUUACUAACAUAUUAACAAGAAUUGCAUUGAGAAACAAAGCAUCCACAGGCCAAAUCUUCUGAAUUUCAAAUGUUUAUAUUAAUGCGUUGUAUUCUAGAAAAGUAGAAUUGUCUUAAGUAGCUUUGUAAUAUAAAGUCAUCUAUCAGCCCAUUACACCUAUUAGAAUGUUUUAACCUUUAUUUCCCACUUUUUUGUUUCUAGACUGAGUGUACUUGGUCUGGUAUUUGUGGCAUAACUUACGGAACACAUAAGAAUGAUACAGAUACUAUUUAAUGAUGACCUAAUACAAGCUUAGAUAGCUAAGGUGAAAGCUUCUAUGGCCUUAACAUUUUCCUCUUGAAGAAUGUAUUUUCUGUAAUAAAAUACAGUGGCUACUUGAAAUCUAUAAACUUAUGUGAGGUCUGGAUAAAUCUGAGCAACUUUCUUCUUUGUGCUCCAGGAACCUACGCACUAUAUAUAUAAAUAAAGCUUAAGUAAACAUCA